GAUGAAGAACGUAGUGAAAUACGAUAAGUAGUGUGAAUUGCAGAAUUCAGUGAAUCAUCGAAUCUUUGAACGCACAUUGCGCCCCUUGGUAUUCCAUGGGGCAUGCCUGUUCGAGCGUCAUUUGUACCUUCAAGCUUUGCUUGGUGUUGGGUGUUUGUCUCGCCUUUGCGUGUAGACUCGCCUUAAAAUAAUUGGCAGCCGGCGUAUUGAUUUCGGAGCGCAGUACAUCUCGCGCUUUGCACUCAUAACGACAGCGUCCAAAAGUACAUUUUACACUCUUGACCUCGGAUCAGGUAGGGAUACCCGCUGAACUUAAGCAUAUCAAUAAGCGGAGGA
rnacentral:misc_RNA from 1 species